CUGACAAACAGAAGGAUGCACUCUGCAGACUGGAGACACUGAGGUUGGAUCAUGGUGGAAGGAACAGACUGAAACCUGGUCUGAAGAAGUGGGCCUGUGAGCUGGAAGUGGACACAAACACAACGAGCAGAAAACUCAAACUGUCUGACAACAACAGGACGGUGACACACGUGAAGGAAGCUCAGUUGUAUUUCGAUCAUCCAGACAGAUUCGACUACUGGCCCCAGCUGCUGUGUCGGACUGGUGUGACCGGUCGCUGUUACUGGGAGGUCGAGUGGAGAGGAAGAGUUGUUGUAUCAGCGAGUUGCAGAGGAAUCAGCAGGAGAGGAACCAGUGAAGACUGCGUGUUUGGAUGGAACAAUCAGUCCUGGAGUCUGAUCUGCUAUGAUGAAGGUUACUCUGUCCGUCACAAUACCAGAGCAACAGACCUCCCUGUCUCCUGGUCCUCUGCCUCUCACAGAGUCGCAGUGUAUGUGGACUGUCCUGCUGGCACUCUGUCCUUCUACAGAGUCGCCUCUGACUCACUGAUCCACCUCCACACCUUCAGCAACACCUUCACUGAGCCUGUUUAUCCUGGUUUUGGGCCCUGGUUACCAGGUUCCUCAGUGUCUCUGUGAGAUCUGUAGGUCAGACAAACUGCUGACUGCAGCCAGAGGUUCAUUCAAAAGUCAGAGGACUUUGGUCUGAGGCUACGUCCACACGUAUACGGAAUAUUUGUAUAACUCUCUCCCUUUAAAAAAACAUCCUGUCCACCGCAGAGGUUUUUUAAUAUUUCUCUGUCCACACAGCAGCCACCAGCAUUCACUAAACUGUGUACGGAGAGUAUUAAAAACUAUGGAUCUAUUUAUUGGUCCUCAUGUGGUGAAAUUAUGAUGAACAGCCAGGUUUCCUUCCUAACAUGCUGUUACACCUAACAGUACCAAGCAGACAGAAACAAAGCAGUAGCCGCCAUCUUUGGUAUGCUCUAAAAAUAUAAACAACAACUGUUAUGUGACGUAUCAGAUAUGUCAGCGUUUCACCAGGUUGUUCCAGUGUGGAUCCUCAGAGGUGAAUAAGAGAUGUCAGGAGGAGACAACAAAUGUCUGACAAAGAGCACAAACUUAAAUAUCUAUUUAACAUAAGAGCUUCUCUCUCUGAGGAACAUUUAUCAUACAAUGUAUUAUUAUAUACACACUAUAUAUAAGGCAAAAGGGAAAAACAACAUAGAGUGUAAAAUGUAUUCAGGGCCGGAGUGGGACUCGUUUUCAACCCAAGAGUUUAAAGAUUACUCUCUACAACCAUGCCAUACAUCAUGUGUCUUAUCAAACAUCAAAACCUGUAAGUUUACAACUAUCAUUUAUUCAUUUUUCACCGUUUUACAGUCUUUUACCGUUGUACAGUCUUUCACUGUUUUAGUCUUUUACUGUUUUACAGUCUUUCACGAUAA